GUGCCAGCCGCCGCGGUAAUACGGAGGGUGCAAGCGUUGUCCGGAAUCACUGGGUGUAAAGGGUGUGUAGGUGGGUCUGUAAGUCAGAGGUGAAAGCCUGCGGCUUAACCGUAGAAUUGCCUUUGAUACUGCAGAUCUUGAGUCCUGGAGAGGCCGCCGGAAUUCGUGGUGUAGCGGUGAAAUGCGUAGAUAUCACGAGGAACACCAGAGGCGUAGGCGGGUGGCUGGACAGGUACUGACACUGAGGCACGAAAGCGUGGGGAGCAAACAGGAUUAGAUACCCUGGUAGUCCACGCCGUAAACGAUGGAUGCUCGAUGCUGCGGCGUUUUUGCUGCAGUGUCCAAGCUAACGCAUUAAGCACCCCUCCUGGGGAGUACGGCCGCAAGGUUGAAACUUAAAUGAAUUGGCGGGG
rnacentral:rRNA from 1 species